UCCGAUAUGGUGUAGUGGCUAACAUUAUCGCCUCUCAUUCAUGAGUUCAAUAUGAUUCACGCGAUAGCCCGGGGUUAAAUUCCCCGUGUCUGAA